rnacentral:lncRNA from 1 species
UAGUGUAGCCGUCAUGUUUUACAUGGUACACUGUACCAAGUCAGGAAUGUGGUCAUUGUUAUAUUAUUUUUCGUUUCUGUGUGUGUUACAUUUCAACGUUGCGUCGUUUAUUUUCUCUUAUUUUUAGUGUAAAUUCACAUUGCGAUAAGACGUGUCACGGUACUUGUCUUUCCAAAUUCAUGUAUUGGUUUUGAUGUUAUAUUUGUUAUUCUCAUGGGGUUUUGUCUGAUGCUCGGUGUCGUUGUUCUCUUAUAUUUAAUGCGUUUCCCUCGGUUUUAGUUUGUUACCCCGAUUUUGUUUUUUGUCCAUGGAUUUAUGAUUUUGAACAGCGGUAUACUACUGUUGCCUUUAUUUACAAUACUAUAUUUAAUCAUUUGCUCUUUUUGUCAAUGCUAUACAUAUUCUUUUAGAAAACAAAAAUUAAAGUAUGUGACC